rnacentral:rRNA from 1 species
UACGUAGGGUGCGAGCGUUAAUCGGAAUUACUGGGCGUAAAGUGUGCGCAGGCGGCCGAGCAAGUCGAGUGUGAAAGCCCCGAGCUUAACUUGGGAACUGCGCUCGAAACUACUUGGCUAGAGUGUGGCAGAGGGAGAUGGAAUUCCAGGUGUAGCGGUGAAAUGCGUAGAGAUGUGGAGGAACACCGAUGGCGAAGGCAGCCUCCUGGGCCAACACUGACGCUCAUGCACGAAAGCGUGGGGAGCAAACAGG